AUUGAACGCUGCGGCAGGCUUAACACAUGCAAGUCGAGCGAGCGGCGGACGGGUGAGUAAUGCUUAGGCAUCUGCCUAUCAGUGGGGGACACCAUCUCUACAGGGAUGCUAAUACCGCAUACUAAUAGAUGUGCCUAUGUCGGAUUAGCUAGUUGGUGGGGGAAAGGCCUACCAAGGCGACGAUCUGUAGCGGGUCUGAGAGGGUGAUCCGCCAAACUGGGACUGAGAGACGGCCCAGAAUCCUACGGGAGGGAGCAGUGGGGAAAAUUGGAAAAGGGGGGGAAGCCUGAACCAGCGAAGACGCGGGUGUGAAGAAGGGCUAAGGGAUGUAAAGCACUUUAAGCGAGGAGGCGUUACUCGCAGAAUAAGCACCGGCUAACACGGUGCCAGCCGCCGCGGUAAUAC
rnacentral:rRNA from 1 species